rnacentral:rRNA from 1 species
AUUGAACGCUGGCGGCAGGCCUAACACAUGCAAGUCGAACGAGUGGCGGACGGGUGAGUAAUGUCUGGGAAACUGCCUGAUGGAGGGGGAUAACUACUGGAAACGGUAGCUAAUACCGCAUACCAUCAGAUGUGCCAAGAUGGGAUUAGCUUGUGGGUGGGGUAACGGAUAACCAAGGCGACGAUCCCUAGCUGGUCUGAGAGGAUGCACAGCCACACGGUAACGGAGACACGGUCCAGACUCCUACGGUAGGCAGCAGUGGGGAAUAUUGCACAAUGGGCGCAAGCCUGAUGCAGCCAUGCCGCGUGUAUGAAGAAGGCCUUCGGGUUGUAAAGUACUUUCAGCGGGGAGGCGUUACCCGCAGAAGAAGCACCGGCUAACUCCGUGCCAGCAGCCGCGGUAAUAC